AUUGAACGCUGGCGGAAUGCUUUACACAUGCAAGUCGAGCGGCAGCGCGGGGCAACCUGGCGGCGAGCGGCGAACGGGUGAGUAAUGUAUCGGAACGUGUCCUGUCGUGGGGGAUAGCCCAGUGAAAACCGGAUUAAUACCGCAUACGAUCGAGAGAUGAAAGUGGGGGACCGCAAGGCCUCACGCGAUGGGAGCGGCCGAUAUCUGAUUAGCUAGUUGGUGGGGUAAAGGCCCACCAAGGCUUCGAUCAGUAGCUGGUCUGAGAGGAUGAUCAGCCACACUGGGACUGAGACACGGCCCAGACUCCUACGGGAGGCAGCAGUGGGGAAUUUUGGACAAUGGGGGCAACCCUGAUUCAGCCAUUCCGCGUGAGUGAAGAAGGCCUUCGGGUUGUAAAGCUCUUUUGUCCGGGAAGAAACGGUUUCACCUAAUACGUGAGACUACUGACGGUACCGGAAGAAUAAGGACCGGCUAACUACGUGCCAGCAGCCGCCGUAA
rnacentral:rRNA from 1 species